rnacentral:rRNA from 1 species
AGUGAACGCUGGCGGUAGGCCUAACACAUGCAAGUCGAACGGCAGCACAGGAGAGCUUGCUCUCUGGGUGGCGAGUGGCGGACGGGUGAGGAAUACAUCGGAAUCUGCCCAGUCGUGGGGGAUAACGUAGGGAAACUUACGCUAAUACCGCAUACGACCUUCGGGUGAAAGAGGGGGAUCGCAAGACCUCUCGCGAUUGGAUGAGCCAAUGUCGGAUUAGCUAGUUGGCGGGGUAAUGGCCCACCAAGGCGACGAUCCGUAGCUGGUCUGAGAGGAUGAUCAGCCACACUGGAACUGAGACACGGUCCAGACUCCUACGGGAGGCAGCAGUGGGGAAUAUUGGACAAUGGGCGCAAGCCUGAUCCAGCCAUACCGCGUGGGUGAAGAAGGCCUUCGGGUUGUAAAGCCCUUUUGUUGGGAAAGAAAUCUUUCAGGCUAAUACCCUGGGAGGAUGACGGUACCCAAAGAAUAAGCACCGGCUAACUUCGUG